AGAUUGAACGCUGGCGGCAUGCCUUACACAUGCAAGUCGAACGGCAGCACGGGAGCAAUCCUGGUGGCGAGUGGCGAACGGGUGAGUAAUACAUCGGAACGUGCCCAAUCGUGGGGGAUAACGCAGCGAAAGCUGUGCUAAUACCGCAUAAGAUCUACGGAUGAAAGCAGAGGAUCGCAAGACCUUGCGCGAAUGGAGCGGCCGAUGGCAGAUUAGGUAGUUGGUGAGGUAAAGGCUCACCAAGCCUUCGAUCUGUAGCUGGUCUGAGAGGACGACCAGCC
rnacentral:rRNA from 1 species